rnacentral:lncRNA from 1 species
UCCUGGUAGGAAGGUAGUAUUUUUUUUUUUUUUUUGACCCAUUGUGGUCACCAAGAUGACCUGCCGUACGUACACUGUUGGGAAAAUAGCUGAUGGGGUUUGCUUUGUGUGUAGAAAAAGGCCUAGAAUUAACUUUGUAGUAUAUCUGUUUGAUUUAAGAGCAUUGAAUUUAAAAGGCCACCUAAUUGAUAUUUUGCAUUCAUUGGUUUGUUCUAUUGUGUAGAUUAAUAAGAGAAGUAAUAAUGAACAAAGGGUGUGAGAUGGUGGCUGCUUGGACUAUGGAAAGACAAGAUACCAAAGGGAUAGAUCUUAUGGUUAGAUGUAGGUUAUUGUCAAGGAUCUAACUUUGGGGUGAUAGGGUCAAGAGUACUUUAUUAAAAAUAACUGAUUAAAUAAAAGUGAUCUAUACAUGGGUACGUAAUGAUAUUGUGUUAUGAUUAAUCCAUGCUGUCUCUUGAGCACCUAAUGAAAAACAUACACGUAGAAAACAAAUUUUUAGCCAGAUAGAAUUGUAUAUGUAAAAAAAUACCCCCUCCUCUCCAAGAAUAUCCGCUCCAUUCUCUGGAGACAGCAUUGUGAAGUUUACUAAACAUCCGUCCAGAGCUUUUCUGUAUACACAUAGCCACAUGUCAUUUGUACACGUAGAGUUAUAAUGCUUUUCAAAAUAGAGUCAUGAUGCAUACUUUUCUGCCAUUUGCAUUUAGAGCUGUUUUUGUUUUAACAUAAUAUGUCUCAGGCAUCUUUU